CGGGUCUGGCAAGCAACUCCCAGCCCGCGGGGCUCUCGGAAGAGAACAGAGCCCCAGCUUCCUCCUCCUGCCAGCCUCUGUAACAUUACAUUCCAGAAGUUUCUCAGAAGGCACGGAGAUGAGGACUGUUGUUCUUAGACCAGGCAUUGAGAGGUCUCCUGGGCACCUGUUUGUGCUCGGUUAGAAUUCAAACAGAAAGACACAUCGUCAAUGUUUUAGGAAUGUCUGAUGUCACUGAAGCGUUUAUUGAUCUUUUAUUAAACUGUGCAGAACUUA
rnacentral:lncRNA from 1 species